rnacentral:rRNA from 1 species
GACGAACGCUGGCGGCGUGCUUAACACAUGCAAGUCGAACGGUAAGGCCCUUCGGGGUACGACGAGUGGCGAACGGGUGGAGUAACACGUGGGUGAUCUGCCCUGCACUUCGGGAUAAGCCUGGGAAACUGGGUCUAAUACCGGAUAGGACCAUGGACUUCACGGUUUGUGGUGGAAAGCUUUUGUCGGUGUGGGAUGGGCCCGCGGCCUAUCAGCUUGUUGGUGGGGUAAUGGCCUACCAAGGCGACGACGGGUAGCCGGCCUGAGAGGGUGUCCGGCCACACUGGGACUGAGAUACGGCCCAGACUCCUACGGGAGGCAGCAGUGGGGAAUAUUGCACAAUGGGCGCAAGCCUGAUGCAGCGACGCCGCGUGAGGGAUGACGGCCUUC